rnacentral:rRNA from 1 species
UACGGAGGGUGCAAGCGUUGCUCGGAAUCACUGGGCGUAAAGGGCGUGUAGGCGGUCUCGUAUGUCUGACGUGAAAGCCCCGGGCUCAACCCGGGAAGUGCGUUGGAAACUGCGAGACUAGAGUCUCGGAGAGGAAGGUGGAAUUCCAGGUGUAGCGGUGAAAUGCGUGAGAUAUCUGGAAGAACACCGGUGGCGAAGGCGGCCUUCUGGACGAUGACUGACGCUGAGACGCGAAAGCGUGGGGAGCAAACAGG